AACGCACAUUGCGCCCGCUGGAAUUCCAGCGGGCAUGCCUGUUCGAGCGUCAUUUCACCCCUCAAGCCUUGCUUGGUGUUGGAGCACUACCGCUUUAUACAAGCGGUAGGCUCUGAAAUUCAGUGGCGGGCUCGCUAAGACUCUGGGCGUAGUAGUUUAUCACCUCGCUUUGGAAGGAUUAGCGGUGCUCUUGCCGUAAAACCCCCCAAAUUUCUGAAUUUUGACCUCGGAUCAGGUAGGAAUACCCGCUGAACUUAA
rnacentral:misc_RNA from 1 species